CAAAAACAUAGCCAAAUGAAUGGAAGUGUUAAUAUUUGGUGAGCCCUGCCCAAUGAAUGAGCCCUGGUUGUUUCAAUGGCCGCAGUACCCUGACUGUGCUAAGGUAGCGUAAUCAGUUGGCUUUUAAAUGGAGUCGAGAAUGAAGGGGUUUACGUGGGUAAGCUGUCUUAAAUGUGUGCUUUUUAAGUUGGACUAUAGGUGAAAAUACCUUUAAGGCAAGGAAAGACGAGAAGACCCUUAGAGUUUUGCCCACAUAUUCAUUUUUGUUCUGCGUAUUAGUAGUAUGGCACUCACAACCAAAAAUUGAGUAGUCAACUAUAACAGAGCACUUGCGUAGAAGGGUUUUGCUGGGGCGGCAGAGAGGCAUAAUAAAUAUGAGCGCCUAGGCGCUCAGUUAUGGUGAACCCUCUAUUAAUGAAAGAGAACUUACUAGCCGAGAAAAGAAUCGUUGGGCACUGUUUGAUGGGGAGGCUCAUACAUAGAACACCUUGUCUUUUAGCCUAUACGAUUGAAAUACUAUGAGAGAAUAAACUACCUUAGGGAUAACAGCAUAAUUUUUCAUAAAGUUUGUGACCUCGAUGUUGGACUAGGGACCCAAAGGCUAGACGCCAUACGGGCAGGUUCUGUUCGAACCACCACCCCUACGUGAUCU
rnacentral:rRNA from 1 species